AGAGUUUGAUCAUGGCUCAGAACGAACGCUGGCGGCAUGCCUAACACAUGCAAGUCGAACGUGAUCCGGGGCUUGCUCCGGUGAAAGUGGCGGACGGGUGAGUAACGCGUGGGAACCUGCCCAUUGGUCGGGGAUAACUGCGGGAAACUGCAGCUAAUACCCGGUAAGCCCUACGGGGGAAAGAUUUAUCGCCAUUGGAGGGGCCCGCGUCGGAUUAGGUAGUUGGUGGGGUAAAGGCCUACCAAGCCUUCGAUCCGUAGCUGGUCUGAGAGGAUGAUCAGCCACACUGGGACUGAGAUACGGCCCAGACUCCUACGGGAGGCAGCAGUGGGGAAUAUUGGACAAUGGGCGCAAGCCUGAUCCAGCAAUGCCGCGUGAGUGAAGAAGGCCUUAGGGUUGUAAAGCUCUUUCGGCGGGGACGAUGAUGACGGUACCCGCAGAAGAAGCCCCGGCUAACUCCGUGCCAGCAGCCGCGGUAAUACGGAGGGGGCUAGCGUUGUUCGGAAUUACUGGGCGUAAAGGGCGCGUAGGCGGCGCGAUAAGUUGGGCGUGAAAGGCCCGGGCUCAACCCGGGGACUGCGCUUGAUACUGUCGCGCUGUGAGUCCGGGAGAGGAUGGCGGAAUUCCCAGUGUAGAGGUGAAAUUCGUAGAUAUUGGGAAGAACACCGGUGGCGAAGGCGGCCAUCUGGACCGGCACUGACGCUGAGGCGCGAAAGCGUGGGGAGCAAACAGGAUUAGAUACCCUAGUAGUCC
rnacentral:rRNA from 1 species